rnacentral:tRNA from 1 species
GGGGUUGUGGCUCAGCGUUAGAGUGCUCGCCUAGCAUAUGUGAGGCCCUGGGUUCGAUCCUCAGCACCACA